CCCAUCUCUGUCCUUCCCCCGCCCCCAGCUCCUCCCAUUUCCACUACAGCAACAUCGCUGCGAGGCCACACAGGCGCGGACACUGGGGGCAAAAAUAGCCCCCAAGCAGCAGGCGCGGCUCCGGCUGCCGUUUUCCACACGCGUGCGGCCCGGAUCCUUACGAGCAAGCGCAACGAAACGCCUCUCGUUCCAUAGGCGCACUGUGCGCUUGGGACCCAGGCUGGGCGGAGUGGCGAGCUGAGGGGCCCAGCGCUGUAUCGUUCUCGCACACACACCUGCCGGGGAAGGGCCGAAGGGAACGCGAUGUGUUCUCUUCUGACAGCACCUCGGAGCCGAACGCAGGGACCAGCAGCUGUGCUGCCGGCCACCACCGAAGGCCAAACCCCCAGCAGCACCUCCAGGCGCACCUUCCCCGCGGGGCAGCCCCUCGGCUUUAUCCGUGUCUCUCACAGGCGGCCCCGCAGCCCCAGCACGUCCCAGCUGUAAGGUCACCUGGCGCUGCCGUCGGGCCAGGCCGCCUCCGGGGGCCGCGACGCGCCGGGCCGGGCCGGGCCGAGCCGCUCCGCGCGGGCAGCCCGAGAGAGGGGGCAGGGCCAUGGGCUGCGGGGCCACUUACCAGGUCUAUGAAGGUCAGAAAUUUCCAGCUGCCUCCAUAGGUCUGAUGCGCGGGCAUGUCAAUGGCCUUGUAAUUGCACAGGAUGGAGCAGUAGGACAGGAGGAUGGCGGCGCGCAGCACCUGGCAGGGCACCAGCGCCAUGUUGCACGCUGCAGGGGCGGCCUCGGCGGCGGCGGCGGGCUCACAGCCAGCGCGCUGCACUUCCCCAAGUGCCGGCGUGCCCGGCUGUCCGCGGGCCGGGCGGGACGGCCUCCCAACGCCGGGCCGGGGCGGAGCGCGGCGCGGCGUCUGCUGGUGCCGGUUGGGGCCGGGCCGGGCGGCGGCGGCGCGGGCGGCGGGGUGGGCGCGCUCCCGAGCUCCGUGCCCGGUCGUGCGGGACGGGGCCGCGCUGCUCCCGAGGGGCGGUGGAAGCGCGGGGCUGCCUCAGGUGGGCUGCGCAGGUGUCGCCGCGCUGGGUGGGGAGGGCUGCCGGCCUGACGCGGGUACUGCUCUGGGGAGGUCGUAGCGUGGGAACAGUGCUGCUA
rnacentral:lncRNA from 1 species